rnacentral:rRNA from 1 species
UACGUAGGGGGCGAGCGUUAUCCGGAAUUAUUGGGCGUAAAGGGUUCGCAGGCGGCCUUGUAAGUCAGAUGUGAAAGACAGCGGCUUAACCGUUGUAAGCAUUUGAAACUGCAGGGCUUGAGUACAGGAGAGGAAAGCGGAAUUCCUAGUGUAGCGGUGAAAUGCGUAGAUAUUAGGAGGAACACCAGUGGCGAAGGCGGCUUUCUGGACUGAUACUGACGCUGAGGAACGAAAGCGUGGGGAGCAAACAGGAUUAGAUACCCUGGUAGUCCCU